rnacentral:rRNA from 1 species
AGUAUUAAGGUCCUGCCUGCCCAGUGAAAUUUUUUAACGGCCGCGGUAUUCUAACCGUGCAAAGGUAGCGUAAUCACUUGUCUUCUAAAUAAAGACCAGUAUGAAUGGCUAAAUGAGGAUAAACCUGUCUCCUGCGGCCCAUCAGUGAAACUGAUCCCCCAGUCCAAAAGCUGGAAUAUAAACAUAAGACGAGAAGACCCUGUGGAGCUUAAAACUCAACCACUAAUGACCCCACAUCACCUAGUACAAAGUUUUAAGUUGGGGCGACUUCGGAACAAAACAAGACUUCCGAGCACAGAACCACCCGUUCUAACCAAGGCAAACAAGCCUAAGAAAUAAUUGACCCAGUCACACUGACCAACGAACCAAGUUACCCCAGGGAUAACAGCGCUAUCUUCUUCAAGAGUCCAUAUCGACAAGAAGGUUUACGACCUCGAUGUUGGAUCAGGGCACCCCAAUGGUGCACCCGCUAUUAAAGGUUCGUUUGUUCAACGAUUAACAGCC